GACGUCAUCCAGCCCCCAAGGCUCCAGGACGCAAAGGGUCCCCUGAUCUGGCAGUCCCUGGACCUACCCUGGAGAGCGUGGGGGGACAAAGGCCGGACGCGCCGCCCGCUGCCGCCUCCAGGAAGCCCUCCCUUGCCAGGACAGUGGAGUUGGCCGGGUGUGGACAGCAGGAAGGGCCGGCGGGAAGGGGGGGUGGAAAGAGCCACUCCUGGUUAAUAACUCUGCGGGGUUAACCUAGGGCCGGCCAUACUCAAGUACGGACUUGAGUAAAAUUCAGCAGGAAAAGGAGCAGGGUGGGCGCCGCUAGAGGGAGGCUUCAGGACUGAGGGUCAGAGGCCCAAGGCCUGGCAGGGCCCUUCCCUGGUCAGCUCCAGGCUUGGCCUGAUGCCCGGUGGGCCACGGGCCUCUUCCAGCCUCAGGCUGACCCCAGAGAAAGAGGACAGCCCACAAGCCCGGGAGGCCGGCUUGCUGCCUGGUCAUUGCUGCAGAGCCUGGAGGGGGCCUGCGCUCAGUCCCCGCUGACCGUCCCCUCCCUUGACCCUGCCAUAGCCAUCUGUGUAACCCAGGGGAAAUUAUUCCAAAGGGACUUCCACUUCUGAUAAUCUAUGAUUCUAUUUUCUAAAAAACAAAACUCUAAAAUGCUUAAUGUCAAACAUCUGUCAUCAGCUGAACAGGAAAAGGAACAGUAAGUACAAAGCAAGGCAACAUCAGAAAAGGGAGCCCUGAGGAAUUUCUCCCUCCUUCCCUGAGCCGGGUGAGGCCGUGACUGCAGCCUGACUCACAGGUUUUAUUUCACUUAUUAACCUAAAGAUGGUGAGGAUCUGCUGGUUCUCCCCCAGGCCUGGAGGCUGCCUACCAUCGGUGGCUCUCAUCGGUGAGCUGAGGCCACAGUUGUUAUAGUCUCUGACUUCAAAAGAAAGACCGAUUUCAUGAACAAUUGCCUGUCUCUCUCGACGGUGGCCUCGGUUUUUUGUUGUUGUUUUUCUGUUUGUUUUUGAGACAGAGUUUUGCUCUUGUAGCCCAGGCUGGAGUGCAGUGGCAUGAUCUCAGCUCACUGCAACCUCUGCCUCCCAGGUUCAAGCGAUUCUCCUGCCUCAGCCUCCAGAGUAGCUGGGAUUACAGGCGCCCACCACCACACCUGGCUACUUUUUGUAUUUUUAGUAGAGAUGGGGUUUCACCAUGUUGGCCAAGCUGGUCUCAAACUCCUGACCUUAGGUGAUCCACCCGCCUUGGCCUCCCAAAGUGCUGGGAUUACAGGCAUGAGCCACCACACCCAGCCUUGGUGGCCUCAUUUUUAGCAGCCUCUGCAAAGCACACAGCCUGAAUCCGUCACCUAGAGUCCCCAGCAUGCAGGAGAGGCGCUCUCAACCCGGGCUGGAGCCAUGAGCCACUCCCUGAGGGCACACAGGGCCUGAGUCUGGCUCCUGUGUGUUGCUGUGUGACAGGUCCUUCCAAAGUGCCUACGGAAAGCUUUGUCCCAUCCUUGAAAAAUUGCUAAUGGGUUUGGAGAUACGAGGUGGAGAUGACUAGCAAUCAAACUCAAAGGUGGAAGUCACAUCGAGGCAGAUGAGCAGAUGAGGGGACCUAGAGAAGAAGAGAGGUGCAAGGAGAGCCCAGCCAGCAGGAACAUCUGCCCCAGUAGGCAGCACUGCCCCACAUCAGAGUCGAGGAAAGCAAAGCUCGGAUUGGAUAAAAGAAACUUGCAAACACGGUCAGUGCUUACUGCAUGUGGGCUCAGAGCACGUUACCCUCCUUCCCUGCAUGUUCCUGUGAAACGGGUUUACUGCUCUAACUCUCAGGGACACUGUGAAGACCAAACGAGAAAAUAGAAACAAACAUAAUUUAUAAACCAUAAAGUACUGACACCAAAAGAGGGGCGAGCACAGCAUUGUGAAUGUGCUGGUACUAAAUGGUUUGUUUUAAGAUGAUUUUAUGGUGUGUGAAUUUCACUUGAAUAAAUUUUUUUAAUGGAGUUCAUGGGGACGCUGCAGGAUGUCAAUUAACUUUGGACAUUUUAGCAGCGCUUUAGGUGUUAAAAUUAUUUUUUAAAAAAUACAGGAUGAAGGGAAAAGCUUCAUGACAUUGGAUUUGGCAGUGAUUCCUUGGAUAUGACCCCAAAAGCACAGAUAACGAAAGAAAAAAUAGUUAAAUUGUCUUCAUCAAAAUUAAAACUUUUGUACAUCAAAGAACUCUUUCAAAAGAGUGAAAAAGUCACAGAAUAAGAGAAAAUCAUAUACCUGAUAAAGAAUUAAUAUUCAGAGCCAGAUGCAGUGGCUCAUGCCUGUAAUCCCAGCACUUUGGGAGGCCAAGGCAGGCAGAUCACUUGAGAUCAGGAGUUCGAGACAAGCCUGGCUAAAAUGGUGAAACCCCAGCUCUACUAAAAAUACAAAAAUUAGCCAGGCGUGGUGGCGUGCACCUGGAAUCCCAGCUAUUCGGGAGGCUGAGGCAGGAGAAUCGCUUGAACUCAGAAGGCAGAGGUUGCAGUGAGCCAAGAUCACACCACUGCACUCCAGCCUGGGCGACAAAGUGAGACUCCAUCUCAAAAAAACAAAACAAAACAAAACAAAACAAAGAGUUACUAUUCAGAAUAUAUUAAGAAUUCCUACAACUCAACAACAAAAAAAAAUCCAACCCAAUUAAAAAAUGGGCAACAGACCCAAAUAGACAUUUCUUAGAAGACACACAAAUGGCCAAUAAGCUCAUGAAAACAUGUUUAACAUCACUAAUCAUUAGGGAAAUGCAAAUCAAAGCUAAAAUGAGAUACCACGUCACACUCAUUAGGUGUUAUUUUUUAAAAAUAACACAACAACAAAAAAUAAGAAAUGUGGGCGAGGAUGUGAAGAAAUUGAAACCCUUGUGGACUGUUGUUGGGGAUGUAAAAUGGCGCAGCUGCUGGGGAAAACAGUAUGGGAGUUCCUCACAAAACUAAACAGAAUUGCCAAACGACCCAGCGAUCCUGCCUCUGACAUAUACUGGAAAGAACUGAAAUAAGGCGCUGGAACAGACACUUGUAACCCAUGUUCACAGCUGAGCCAAAAGGUGGGAGUAACCCAAAUGUCCAUCAGUGGAUGAAUACUGGCAAUAAAAGCUGUGUCUGGAGGCCACUCCGUUUCACACAGCUCUCCACACGGGUGAGGGCACAGCCUUCUCGUCUCUUUCCUAUGCUGCAUCUUCAGAGCUAGCUAUGAUAUGAUAUGAUGUGAUAUGUACAUAUCGAAUAUACAUGUUUUACAUGCAAAUGCAACCAGUUUAUUGAGGGCUUGAUGGGGGAUAUGGGAGUUGCGGGGGAGAAUGGUCUUGUAUUUCCAAUUUAAAAAUAACAACAACAAAACGGGACAGAAGUGCAAGACUUUUAGUGUUCUCUAGAGCAAUGUCACUCUGUCCCUAGACGAAUGGUAGGAGCGGGACAUGUUCAUAUGUCCUCGAGGUGUGACCGCACAUGGGCACACAGUAGCCCAAAGCAUAUCCCAGCCGGGAGCAGUUCCUUUUAUGGGGCCGCCUGGGCAGGAUCCAAGGUGCUGGGUUUGAAACAAAAAGGAGUGACUCUGUCCCACACCAAGUAACACCAAACCUCACUGACCUCAGUUUUCUUAUCUGUAAAAAGAGCAAUGCGGGGGCUGGCUCAGUGGCUCAUGCCUG
rnacentral:lncRNA from 10 species